UGUUAAUGCAUUUGUUAAAGCCUUAAAAGUAUUUCUAUACUAAAAUGUUUGGCUUGUGGAUAGGUGACGAGUCGGUGAAUCAAGGAGCACCGAAACCAUAGUUGUACUUUCUUUUGGAGUACAAGUUUUGCAGGCGUUGUAGAUAUCCACUGCUGAUCGUCGAGGGGUUGUACGCUCGCUUAGGGUAGCACGUCGGGAAGGCUGGACUAGUUUUGGCAAAAUUUUGUAGAUAGGGAUGUAGUUGCAGCUUAUGUUUAAAUUUGGUUUAUUGUAUAGUUUAUGUUUUCUUAAGACUUCCGCUGUGUUUGUAAGAACGUUAAGUUUUGCGUUAUCAAUAAAAUGGUUGUUGGAUAAUUUA